rnacentral:rRNA from 1 species
AUUGAACGCUGGCGGCAGGCCUAACACAUGCAAGUCGAGCGGAGCGGAGGAAGGGUGAUUAAUGCAUAGGAAUCUGCCUGGUAGUGGGGGAUAACGUCCGGAAAAGGGAGCUAAUACCGCCAACUUUAAGAUGAGACAAGGUCGGAUUAGCUAGUUGGUGGGGUAAAGGACUACCAAGGGGACGAUCCGUAACUGGUAUGGGAGGUUGAUCAGUACAAUUGGAACGGAGGCACGGUCCAAACUCUGACGGUAGGCAGCAGUGGGGAAUAUGGGACAAUGGGCGAAAGAUUGCUCCAGACAGGCCGCGUGUGUGAAGAAGGUCUUCGGAUUGUAAAGCACUUUAAGUUGGGAGGCGUUACCAACAGAAUAAGCACCGGCUAACUUCGUGCCAGCAGCCGCGGUAAUUC